UCCCCGCUUUACGGGGCAGUCUCGCCAGAGAAUACAACUGGCAACAGGGGUUGCGCUCGUUGCGGGACUUAACCCAACAUCUCACGGCACGAGCUGACGACAGCCAUGCAGCACCUGUGAAGGUCCAGCCGAACUGACACCGUGUUUCCACGGCUAUGACCUACAUGUAAAGCCCAGGUAAGGUUCUUCGCGUUGCGUCGAAUUAAACCACAUGCUCCACCGCUUGUGCGGGCCCCCGUCAAUUCCUUUGAGUUUCAACCUUGCGGUCGUACUCCCCAGGCGGGGUACUUCCUGCGUUAGCGCCGGCACCCAGAGGGUCGCUCCCCCAGGCACCUAGUACCCAUCGUUUACGGCGUGGACUAC
rnacentral:misc_RNA from 1 species